rnacentral:ncRNA from 1 species
CUGCUAUGCGCAAGUGUUGGUAAUUGUCCCGUACGAAAGUACGAGACAGGGAACACGGUGUAGCGGCUUGCCGCUGAUCCCGUGGCUGCUCCCGCAACUGUAAGCGGCAAGUUUCUCUCUUCGAUGCCACUGGCAGGCCUUCGGGCCGCUGGGAAGGUGGAGAGAAACGCCUGAGCCGCGAGCCAGGAGACCUGCCGACACGGGUCGCCCAUC